UCUGGGCACGUCGCGCAGUUUAUUAAAAUAACUUUGGAGCAUUGCGCGUCCAUCCGCCUGUCUGUCCACAAAGCGGCACUAUGAAUAUGUGUGCAAAUGUGUGUCUGUCCGCGUCGCACUUGUCCGUUUGCGGUUUGCCGUUGAGUUUAGUUCGGUGCGUCGUCCAUUCAGCAUUUAAACUGACACGAGCACUAACAACAGUAGCGACGACAUACACAUUCGCUUAUUCUCCGGUGUUUUAGUGAUUUUUACGACAGAUUGUUGUUGCUUUAUGGGUGUUUACUUAUAAUUUUUUUUCUGUUUUAUGUUCGUCACAAAAAUUAGUUUAAUCAUAAAAAUGGCCAAUAGUGCGAUCCAUGCAAUGGUGAAAAAUGACUGUAAAGGCAACAAUAAUAACAAUAUGAAGUCAACUAGCCUUCACCAACUGAACGGCCUCAGCCACACAGUCGCGUCCAUGAAUAUGCCCACUAACAUUGUAUGUUUGCAGGUAGUGCUACCCGUUUUGCGCAUUCCAUCGCCCGAAACGCGUCAGUUUCAUAGGCCUCACGACCGUUGUCUUCUUCGCCAGCUCCGUCAUUGCCGCAGUCACCGUUGGGUUUUUUUGUGUCUGCGAACGUGCACGUCUUCGUCCGCAUCACGUAUCCGUAUGCACAUCAUCUAGGCUUUUUCGCCCCGCAGAGUGGACUUGGCCAAGAGCCUGCAAUUAAAACCUUUUAACAAUAUCACGUACUAUGAACCGCAUAUAAAAAGUUUCUACCCCAAUUGGAUGAGUGGUUGGUGUACUUGGCCGUUGAGUCUACGAUGGUGGCUAGCGAUUGAAAAAAUGUAUACAAAAAUUAUGAAAAGGUUGCAUUCGCUUGAGUUCGAACUACGACUGCAAUAUCAAAUCCAGCGACACUAAACGAGUGAAUGAACAGCCGGCCAAUUAUUGAUUGAUGGGUGCAAAAAUCACAAAACUACAGGACAAAUGUAAAUGUAAAAUGAAUUCCC